GGCAACAGGAGUGAUAAUACACAAUAACAGCAGUAUACUGUAGGUAGGGGUAAAGUGACUAGGCAACAGGAGUGAUAAUACACAAUAACAGCAGUAUACUGUAGGUAGGGGUAAAGUGACUAGGCAACAGGAGUGAUAAUACACAAUAACAGCAGUAUACUGUAGGUAGGGGUAAAGUGACUAGGCAACAGGAUUGAUAAUACACAAUAACAGCAGUAUACUGUAGGUAGGGGUAAAGUGACUAGGCAACAGGAGUGAUAAUACACAAUAACAGCAGUAUACUGUAGGUAGGGGUAAAGUGACUAGGCAACAGGAUUGAUAAUACACAAUAACAGCAGUAUACUGUAGGUAGGGGUAAAGUGACUAGGCAACAGGAGUGAUAAUACACAAUAACAGCAGUAUACUGUAGGUAGGGGUAAAGUGACUAGGCAACAGGAGUGAUAAUACACAAUAACAGCAGUAUACUGUAGGUAGGGGUAAAGUGACUAGGCAACAGGAGUGAUAAUACACAAUAACAGCAGUAUACUGUAGGUAGGGGUAAAGUGACUAGGCAACAGGAGUGAUAAUACACAAUAACAGCAGUAUACUGUAGGUAGGGGUAAAGUGACUAGGCAACAGGAGUGAUAAUACACAAUAACAGCAGUAUACUGUAGGUAGGGGUAAAGUGACUAGGCAACAGGAUUGAUAAUACACAAUAACAGCAGUAUACUGUAGGUAGGGGUAAAGUGACUAGGCAACAGGAUUGAUAAUACACAAUAACAGCAGUAUACUGUAGGUAGGGGUAAAGUGACUAGGCAACAGGAUUGAUAAUACACAAUAACAGCAGUAUACUGUAGGUAGGGGUAAAGUGACUAGGCAACAGGAUUGAUAAUACACAAUAACAGCAGUAUACUGUAGGUAGGGGUAAAGUGACUAGGCAACAGGAGUGAUAAUACACAAUAACAGCAGUAUACUGUAGGUAGGGGUAAAGUGACUAGGCAACAGGAUUGAUAAUACACAAUAACAGCAGUAUACUGUAGGUAGGGGUAAAGUGACUAGGCAACAGGAUUGAUAAUACACAAUAACAGCAGUAUACUGUAGGUAGGGGUAAAGUGACUAGGCAACAGGAGUGAUAAUACACAAUAACAGCAGUAUACUGUAGGUAGGGGUAAAGUGACUAGGCAACAGGAGUGAUAAUACACAAUAACAGCAGUAUACUGUAGGUAGGGGUAAAGUGACUAGGCAACAGGAGUGAUAAUACACAAUAACAGCAGUAUACUGUAGGUAGGGGUAAAGUGACUAGGCAACAGGAGUGAUAAUACACAAUAACAGCAGUAUACUGUAGGUAGGGGUAAAGUGACUAGGCAACAGGAGUGAUAAUACACAAUAACAGCAGUAUACUGUAGGUAGGGGUAAAGUGACUAGGCAACAGGAGUGAUAAUACACAAUAACAGCAGUAUACUGUAGGUAGGGGUAAAGUGACUAGGCAACAGGAGUGAUAAUACACAAUAACAGCAGUAUACUGUAGGUAGGGGUAAAGUGACUAGGCAACAGGAGUGAUAAUACACAAUAACAGCAGUAUACUGUAGGUAGGGGUAAAGUGACUAGGCAACAGGAUUGAUAAUACACAAUAACAGCAGUAUACUGUAGGUAGGGGUAAAGUGACUAGGCAACAGGAGUGAUAAUACACAAUAACAGCAGUAUACUGUAGGUAGGGGUAAAGUGACUAGGCAACAGGAUUGAUAAUACACAAUAACAGCAGUAUACUGUAGGUAGGGGUAAAGUGACUAGGCAACAGGAGUGAUAAUACACAAUAACAGCAGUAUACUGUAGGUAGGGGUAAAGUGACUAGGCAACAGGAUUGAUAAUACACAAUAACAGCAGUAUACUGUAGGUAGGGGUAAAGUGACUAGGCAACAGGAGUGAUAAUACACAAUAACAGCAGUAUACUGUAGGUAGGGGUAAAGUGACUAGGCAACAGGAGUGAUAAUACACAAUAACAGCAGUAUACUGUAGGUAGGGGUAAAGUGACUAGGCAACAGGAUUGAUAAUACACAAUAACAGCAGUAUACUGUAGGUAGGGGUAAAGUGACUAGGCAACAGGAGUGAUAAUACACAAUAACAGCAGUAUACUGUAGGUAGGGGUAAAGUGACUAGGCAACAGGAUUGAUAAUACACAAUAACAGCAGUAUACUGUAGGUAGGGGUAAAGUGACUAGGCAACAGGAUUGAUAAUACACAAUAACAGCAGUAUACUGUAGGUAGGGGUAAAGUGACUAGGCAACAGGAUUGAUAAUACACAAUAACAGCAGUAUACUGUAGGUAGGGGUAAAGUGACUAGGCAACAGGAUUGAUAAUACACAAUAACAGCAGUAUACUGUAGGUAGGGGUAAAGUGACUAGGCAACAGGAUUGAUAAUACACAAUAACAGCAGUAUACUGUAGGUAGGGGUAAAGUGACUAGGCAACAGGAGUGAUAAUACACAAUAACAGCAGUAUACUGUAGGUAGGUGUAAAGUGACUAGGCAACAGGAUUGAUAAUACACAAUAACAGCAGUAUACUGUAGGUAGGGGUAAAGUGACUAGGCAACAGGAUUGAUAAUACACAAUAACAGCAGUAUACUGUAGGUAGGGGUAAAGUGACUAGGCAACAGGAUUGAUAAUACACAAUAACAGCAGUAUACUGUAGGUAGGGGUAAAGUGACAAGGCAACAGGAGUGAUAAUACACAAUAACAGCAGUAUACUGUAGGUAGGGGUAAAGUGACUAGGCAACAGGAGUGAUAAUACACAAUAACAGCAGUAUACUGUAGGUAGGGGUAAAGUGACUAGGCAACAGGAGUGAUAAUACACAAUAACAGCAGUAUACUGUAGAUAGGGGUAAAGUGACUAGGCAACAGGAGUGAUAAUACACACUAACAGCAAAAUACUGUAGGUAGGUGUAAAGUGACUAGGCAACAGGAUUGAUAAUACACAAUAACAGCAGUAUACUGUAGGUAGGGGUAAAGUGACUAGGCAACAUGAUUGAUAAUACACAAUAACAGCAGUAUACUGUAGGUAGGGGUAAAGUGACUAGGCAACAGGAUUGAUAAUACACAAUAACAGCAGUAUACUGUAGGUAGGGGUAAAGUGACUAGGCAACAGGAGUGAUAAUACACAAUAACAGCAGUAUACUGUAGGUAGGGGUAAAGUGACUAGGCAACAGGAGUGAUAAUACACAAUAACAGCAGUAUACUGUAGGUAGGGGUAAAGUGACUAGGCAACAGGAGUGAUACUGUAGGUAGGGGUAAAGUGACUAGGCAACAGGAGUGAUAAUACACAAUAACAGCAGUAUACUGUAGGUAGGGGUAAAGUGACUAGGCAACAGGAGUGAUAAUACACAAUAACAGCAGUAUACUGUAGGUAGGGGUAAAGUGACUAGGCAACAGGAGUGAUAAUACACAAUAACAGCAGUAUACUGUAGGUAGGGGUAAAGUGACUAGGCAACAGGAGUGAUAAUACACAAUAACAGCAGUAUACUGUAGGUAGGGGUAAAGUGACUAGGCAACAGGAGUGAUAAUACACAAUAACAGCAGUAUACUGUAGGUAGGGGUAAAGUGACUAGGCAACAGGAUUGAUAAUACACAAUAACAGCAGUAUACUGUAGGUAGGGGUAAAGUGACUAGGCAACAGGAGUGAUAAUACACAAUAACAGCAGUAUACUGUAGGUAGAGGUAAAGUGACUAGGCAACAGGAGUGAUAAUACACAAUAACAGCAGUAUACUGUAGGUAGGGGUAAAGUGACUAGGCAACAGGAUUGAUAAUACACAAUAACAGCAGUAUACUGUAGGUAGGGGUAAAGUGACUAGGCAACAGGAGUGAUAAUACACAAUAACAGCAGUAUACUGUAGGUAGGGGUAAAGUGACUAGGCAACAGGAUUGAUAAUACACAAUAACAGCAGUAUACUGUAGGUAGGGGUAAAGUGACUAGGCAACAGGAUUGAUAAUACACAAUAACAGCAGUAUACUGUAGGUAGGGGUAAAGUGACUAGGCAACAGGAGUGAUAAUACACAAUAACAGCAGUAUACUGUAGGUAGGGGUAAAGUGACAAGGCAACAGGAGUGAUAAUACACAAUAACAGCAGUAUACUGUAGGUAGGGGUAAAGUGACUAGGCAACAGGAGUGAUAAUACACAAUAACAGCAGUAUACUGUAGGUAGGGGUAAAGUGACUAGGCAACAGGAGUGAUAAUACACAAUAACAGCAGUAUACUGUAGGUAGGGGUAAAGUGACUAGGCAACAGGAGUGAUAAUACACAAUAACAGCAGUAUACUGUAGGUAGGGGUAAAGUGACUAGGCAACAGGAGUGAUAAUACACAAUAACAGCAGUAUACUGUAGGUAGGGGUAAAGUGACUAGGCAACAGGAGUGAUAAUACACAGUAGCAGCAGUAUACUGUAGGUAGGGGUAAAGUGACUAGGCAACAGGAUUGAUAAUACACAAUAACAGCAGUAUACUGUAGGUAGGGGUAAAGUGACUAGGCAACAGGAGUGAUAAUACACAAUAACAGCAGUAUACUGUAGGUAGAGGUAAAGUGACUAGGCAACAGGAGUGAUAAUACACAAUAACAGCAGUAUACUGUAGGUAGGGGUAAAGUGACUAGGCAACAUGAUUGAUAAUACACAAUAACAGCAGUAUACUGUAGGUAGAGGUAAAGUGACUAGGCAACAGGAGUGAUAAUACACAAUAACAGCAGUAUACUGUAGGUAGGGGUAAAGUGACUAGGCAACAGGAUUGAUAAUACACAAUAACAGCAGUAUACUGUAGGUAGGGGUAAAGUGACUAGGCAACAGGAGUGAUAAUACACAAUAACAACAGUAUACUGUAGGUAGGGGUAAAGUGACUAGGCAACAGGAUUGAUAAUACACAAUAACAGCAGUAUACUGUAGGUAGGGGUAAAGUGACUAGGCAACAGGAGUGAUAAUACACAAUAACAGCAGUAUACUGUAGGUAGGGGUAAAGUGACUAGGCAACAGGAGUGAUAAUACACAAUAACAGCAGUAUACUGUAGGUAGGGGUAAAGUGACUAGGCAACAGGAUUGAUAAUACACAAUAACAGCAGUAUACUGUAGGUAGGGGUAAAGUGACUAGGCAACAGGGCUGAUAAUACACAGAAGCAGCAGUGUAUGUGGUGAGUGUGAAAGUGUGUGUUAUCACUUGAACUUGCGGUAGCAGAGAGAACAGUCUAUGGCUUGGGUGGCUGGAGACUUUGACACAUUUUUGGACCUUCCUCUCUGAUGUACAGGGCCAUACUCACCACCCUCUGUAGUGCCUUGCUGUUGGGUGCCAUGCAGUUUCCACACCAAGCGGUGAUGCAGUCAGUCAAGAUGCUCUGAAUGGUGCAGCUGUUAAACUUUUUGAGGAUCUGAGGGCCCAUGCCAAAUCCUUUCCUGUAGUUCACAAUAAGUUUGUUUGUCUUGCUCACAUUGAGUGGAGGUUGUUGUCCUGGCACCACACUGCCAGGUCUCUGACCUCCUCCCUAUAGGCUGUCUCAUCAUCAUCGGUGAUCAGGCCUACCAUCAUGUGUCGUAACCAAACUUAAUGAUGGUGUUGGAGUUAUGCGUGGCCACACAGUCUUGCGUGAAUAGGGAGUACAUGAGGGGACUAAGCACGCACCCGAGGGGCCCCGUGUUGAGGGUCAGUGUGGCAGAUGUGUUAUUGCCUACCCUUACAACCUGGGGGCGGCCCCUCUCCGGAAGUCCAGGAUCCAGUUGCAGAGGGAGGUGUUCAGUCCCAGGGACCUUAGCGUAGUGAUGAGCUUGGAGGGCACUAUGUUGUUGAACGCUGAGCUGUAGUCAAUGAACAGAAUUCUCACACAGGUGUUCCUUUUGUCCAGGUGGGAAAGGGCAAUCAUCUGUUGAUCUGUUGGGGUGGUAUUUGAAUUGGAGCGGGUCCAGGGUUUCUGAGAUGAUGGUGUUCAUGUGAGCCAUGAUCAGCCUUUCAAAGCAUUUCAUGGCUACAAAUGUGAGCGUUACGAGACGGUAGUCAUUUAGGCAGGUUACCUUGUCGUUCUUGGGCACAGUGGUCUGCUUGCAACCAGAAGUAUGUGGACAACUGCUCGUCAAACAUCACAUUCCAAAAUUGUGAAAUGUCACGCCAUGAUCUGUUUCACAUGUCCUUGUGCUUGUCUCCACCCCCUCCAGGUGUCACUCAUGUGACACCUCUGUGCCAGUUCAUCUUGUUUGCCAAGUCAACCAGCGUUUAUCUCCUAGCUCCUAUUUUUUCCCUCGUCUCUGUUUUUUCCAAGUCCUCCUGGUUUUGACCCUGUCCUGACACCAAACCCGCCUGUCUGACCAUUCUUCCUGCCCCGACCUCGAGCCUGCCUAACACCUUGUACUGUUUGGAGACGGACAUGGUUACUGAACCCCUGCCUGUCCUGACCUCGAGACUGUCUAACGCCCUGUACUGUUUGGACUCUGACCUGGUUUAUGAACUCUCGCCUGUACCCGAUCUGCCUUUUGCCUACCCCUUGGGUUAUAAUAGUUAUUGGAGCUCAACCAUCUGCCUCCUGUGUCUGCAUAUGAGUCUCGACUUGUGCCCUUAUAUUAAUAUGGUGUUGGUCCCCCCUUUGCUGCUAUAACAGCCUCCACUCUUCUGGGAAGGUUUUCCACUAGAUGUUGGUAAAUUGCUGCAGGGUAUUGCUUCCAUUCAGCCACAAGAGCAUUAAUGAGGUCAGGCACUGAUGUUGGGCGAUUAGGUCUGGCUCGCAAUCGGUAUUCUCUGAUUGAGAACCAUACUUCAGUAGCCCUUUUUUUCACCUGUCUUUGUGGGAAGUUGACUUUGUUUAGGGCACAUAGCCUUUAGCUUCACGGUUUGUUUUUGUAGUGUUUAUUGUUUUGUUCGGUGUCAUUUUUAUUAAUAAAAGAAAAUGUACGUUCACCACGCUGCACCUUGGUCCUCUUCUUACAACAGCCGUGACAGGUACUGUAUUCUCAUGGUACUGUAUUAUGUUACUGUAUCUUGGUACUGUAUUAACAUGGUACUGUAUUAUCAUGGUACUGUAUCAUGGUACUGUAUUAACAUGGUAUUGUAUCAUCAUGGUAUUGUAUUAUCAUGCUACUGUAUUGUCAUGGUAUUGUAUUAUCAUGCUACUGUAUUGUCAUGGUAUUGUAUUAUCAUCGUACUGUAUCAUUGUAAUGUAUUUACAUGGUACGGGAUUAUGAUCCCUGUUUAAUCUAGCAAGCUGUCCUGAUCCUCCUCCCAUUACUAAUGGAGAUUUCACCAAGGAAAAGAGAGAUGUUGAAGGUGUAAUUAUAGAGGUGUCCUACCAAUGCAGCAGACAGUUUACACUGAGUUUCACAGGCAGCAUCAGAUGUCUGAAUGGAAAAUGGCAGAGUCCUCCAAAGUGUUUACGGCCUUGUGAGAUUUCCACUUUUGAUGCAGAGUACAAUCUACAGAAUUUACCCAAGAAAGAUAAGAUUGCGCACGGUGAAAAAAAGACUCUUCAUUGCAAAGAGGGAUAUUACCAUCAAUACAAGACAUUUCGACCGAAUAUAGACGAAAUUGAGGUGAAGUGUUAUGAUGGAGAGUUACAGUAUGGAGAACACAUACCUAUAUGUAGCCAUCGUUAUUCAUAGGUAGAUGAUGAACAUAAUGGAGUCAUGAUGUUUGGUCCAUCAAAUGCAAGAAUCCUUACAAAGACGUCUUUAUGUGCAAGGAGAACAUAUUUGCUUUUGUGGUGUCGUUGUUGCUUGUUUAAUUUAGGUUUAGAAAAAAUGUGAGCCAUCCAGUAAUGGAGCACAUGAGGUGUAAUUUUCAUCAUUUGACUUUGUACCAUUGUAACAAAAUAACAGUAUCUUUCUAAUCAUCAGUCUCAGCUUCACUAUAACAGUACAGCUAUGUAAAGCUAGACUAAAAUGGUACAUUUGUUGUAUUAGUUCAAAGAGAUGUGAUUGUGUGAACAUUCUAUCAAGUUUAUAAAUUGCCUGGCUGGGCUGAUGAGGCAGUGGAUUGCACAGUCAGUUGGUACAGAGUAAAUAGGCAUUUUAAAGUCAUAGAUUUAGCCAGUGGUAGCUUGUGGAAUAGGCACCGACUGGAAUGCGGUUUUAACCAUUCAACAUUCAGGAUUAGACCGACACGCUCUAUAAUUUGUGAAUAUUCUCCUGUAUCUCCCAGCUGUGUGAUUCAUUACCUCAAGGUGUAAUAUAAGUGAACAACUGUUAUGAUUGUAAUUGACCUUUUCAAGACAAUAAAGUUGUGGAAAAGAGAUGACACCGUUGUCUCCAUGAGUCUUUACAAGGCUCCAGUACAACAGAAUAAGAUUUACAGAUGUUUACCUAACAAAUGCACAUUAAAGCUAACAAACUAUUUCUCUG